rnacentral:tRNA from 1 species
GGCUAUGUAGCUCAGUCGGUUAGAGCAUCGCACUCAUAAUGCGGGGGUCACAGGUUCGAAUCCCGUCAUAGCCACCA